UCCAGGUGUGCAUCCAGGUCAGCGGCUCGCAGCAUCAUGACCACGGAUUUGAUGGAGUAGGACCAGCCGUGCCACGUGUACCACACCACGCCGUCGUCCGUCAUCGCCUUGUACGGCCCGUCGUGAUUUGGUUCUUCAGGUUCUUGAUGGGUCUAAGUCAGCACUUCGUGGAGACCAGUCUAGAACUUUUAUUCUAGAACCUUCAUUCCAGCCUGAUGGAACCAUUUCUUUACCACGUCUGAUGUUGUCCACGCCCAGAUGAGAGUUGGGGAUGUGCUGCAGCUGAUGGGCCUGGCUGCUGUGGAGCUCCAGGAUGUAGCGGUGCUGGUCGUUGAUCACGCUCAUCAGGUUCUGGAUCUCCGCCUCCAGCCGGACCACUUUGUCCUCACAGGGCACCGGAGCCUGGAUGGAGACAGAACCAGACCUUCAGAAGGAGGAGGAACAUCUGGAGGACCUGAUGUGUGUUUAGACCGGGUCACCUGCAGAUCUCUACAUUCAUCCAAACCAGACUGAGGAGGUUUAACCUUCAACACAUCAGAUAUGAUCAAUACAUCUUCACUGACACGCUGCUGAAUCUGCUGUCAUCAAACCGCUACUUGAAAAGUCCACUCUUGAUCGAUUCUAAUCGAUUAGUUGUCGAUUACUACAAUACAGGAGGUCCUCGGUUUAGGAUGUCAUCGACCUACGGUGUUCCGUCGUUACUGGAUACGUGGAACUGGAGUGGAUGAAUACGUCGUCACGCGGCGCGACAAGACAGCUUUGUUUCCAUUCUCCAUUCCAUUAGAAAUAAAACAUUCAGGACCGGGCCGAUCUGCAAAUUCAGCCACAGAAAGAAUCUCCAGGAGGUUUAAUGUGGAGUCAAAGAGCUGCAGCUACAACCAGGAGAUCAUCUGAGCUGCAUCAGAGAAAGACCUGAACGUCCAAGAAGAAGCUUCAGAGCAGGUCAGUGAAGAAACAGGAACACAGCGGGAACUUCAAAAUAAUGUGCACCAAGGAUGGAGCAAACAGAAGAUAUUUCCAGGAUCUUAUCAGGAGAAGAAGCUCAGACCAGCUGAGGUUCUGGAAAAGUCCUGGAUUGGGUUCACUUCAGUCUUUGAUUCACAGUGAAAUUCUAGAUGAUAGCAACAAGAAUCUGUUUAUUAUGAUGGAUAUACAAACUCCUAAAACAUCCUCCAACUUCUGCAUGCUGCAGUGGGAUUUCUUUAAACUGGUAAUUGAACUAAAUCAAAGAAUAAACGCUUUGUUUUUAAGAUAACUUUAAAUAAAUCCACAGAAACAAUCUCACAGUGAGCAGCAGUCGUAUGAACUCAUUUUAAACCAGAGAAUUAAACCCUAUAAACCCUGGAAUGAGCAGGAAUCUCCCAGCAUGGUAUUUAUUAUAUUAAUUAAUAUUUUCUGGUGCUUCUUACCGCCAGAGAGGAGGCCAGGUGAAGCAGAAAGGCCACAGACGUCCUGAGCAGCGCCAUAACCAACAUGCCACUGAGACUCUCUUCCUCUGAUUACUUCUGUAGUCGUCUUUCUGUUCCCUUUAUGUCCCGUUGGUCGGUCUGUUGUUGGAGAAUCACUGCUCCGUUACAGAGCGGCACCCAGCCCACAGGCUCCAUCUACUGGUUUAAAUGAAUAACUACUGAAUAUACAAACUGAACUGAUGGUGUGCUUUCAUCUGAAGAUUCUCUAUAGGGGCUGCACAGUGUUGUAGUGGUUAGCACUUUGGCCUUGCAGCAAGAAGAUCCCCGGUUCAAAUCCCAGCCUGGGCCUGGGAUCUUUCUGCAUGGAGUUUGCAUGUUCUCCCUGUGCAUGUGUGGGUUUUCUCCGGGUACUCCGGCUUCCUCCCACAGUCCAAAAACAUGCUGAGGUUAAUUGGUUACUCUAAAUUGCCUGUAAGUGUGAAUGUGUGUCUGUAUAUGUAGCCCUGUGACAGACUGGUGACCUGUCAUUGUUCUUGACUUAUUUGUUUGUAGAUACCUCAGACUGAUGCACUUUGCUGGUUUGCAGAUAAUUUCAUGCACGAUGACAAUAAGAUCUCUUAUUCUAACAUAUUUUGCUUAAACAAGAACUGCAAACCUUCUCAACCGUCUCAGUCUGCAAAAUUCAAACUAAGACAAAGAAUUAUCUGAUGCAGUUAUUCUAAUCUUUACUGAACCAGCCCUGGAAUUAAUAAAAAUCUGUACAUGGAUGUGAUUUUCUCUGAUGGACCACUAAAACUGCAUCCAAUAAAGUAAAUCUCUUCUGCUCUGCACACAUA